GCCAGCAGCAUACCACCCUGCAUCCCACUGCUGGCUUGCUUCUGAAGCUAAGCAGGGUUGGUCCUGGAUGGGAGACCAGAUGCUGCUGGAA
ensembl:rRNA 5S_rRNA 5S ribosomal RNA